CCUGGACUGGAAGAGAUGCUAGCCAAAGAUAAGAAGAAUUGGCAAGGGAUAGUAGAGGAUGGAGACAAUGAAUAUCAGCUGUGACCUUGAGACCACCUGUGUUGGGAGCUAUAGUUUGUCCCACUAACUUUCCUCUUGUAAAUUUCUACAGGAGAAGAGAUAGACUAGAAUCCUCGAGGACCUGCUCCCAGAGAACAUUUGGAGAUGUCCUAAGACAAUUGGCUAUGUGGAUAGGGAGAUCUGGUUUAGGGACCAUAUCAUACAGACAGUAGAAGCCAUGGAUGAUCUCAUUCCAGGAGCACAUAUACAGUGGGAAGAGAAUGAAGCUGAAGACAAUUCCAGCUCCAAAGAUAGUGACAAGAGCUGUUCAUCUUCAUCAUCCUCUCUGAUCUUUAUGAAGUUACAUGCCAUUGACAAUCUUUGCUGUGUUGUUGUAACUUCAGGUAUGCUACUGCAAUGAGCAUGCCAGUUGGACUCUUAGACAAUGGCCAUCUGACAUUUAAGCUUACACCCCUGAUUGAGGACCGUCCCUUUCUUAGGGACUCCAGAAGAAACACCUGCAAUGUUGAGACACG
rnacentral:lncRNA from 10 species